GGUAGGAAAGACAGACUCUCAUUCCAUUGAGAAUGAAAUGGAAAGAAAGGUGAGAUCGUUGGGGUUGGAAAGAUAGGAAAGACGGACUCUCAUUCCAUUAGAAUGUCUAUUUGAUAGAUGGCUUGAAAUAUAGCCUGAUAAGUGUGUCACAACUAUGUGACAGAGGUAAUCUAGUGGCUUUCACUUCCUUAAAAUGUUUUGUGAUUAGCCUUACUACUUACAAGAUUGUUUUGCAGGGAAGAAGAGUUAACAAUAUUUACAUUGUAGAUUUAUCAACGCUUUCUGAAAAUGAAUUCACUUGUCUGAGUGUGUUAAUAAAUGAUCCCCUCCUUUGGCACGAAAGACUUGGUCAUGCUAGUCUAAAUCAAUUAAACAAAUUAGUCUCCAAGGACUUAGUGAUAGGGUUACCUAAUAUCAAGUUCAAGGAAGACAGAGUUUGUGAGGCAUGUGCAAGUGGGAAGCAGGUUAGUUCAUCCUUGAAAACUAAGAAAAUGGUAAGCUCGUCCACGACGUUGGAACUGGUUCAUAUGAAUAUCUGUGGUCCAAUGAGAGCCAUGAGCAGAGGUGGUUAAAGAUAUGUCAUGGUGCUAGUUGAUGAUUUCUCUAGAUUUACCUGGGUGUUAAUUUUUGACCUCUAAAGAUGAAGCAUUUGAAAUGUUCACAGCCUUUGUUAGAA
rnacentral:lncRNA from 1 species